rnacentral:rRNA from 1 species
AUGUUGCAGAAGCAAAAAGGACCUAUAGAGGAGGGCGAAGUACCUUUAACAGAGCAACAGAUUUGCGAGCAGGUGCUUGGUAAGGAAUAUGGUUACAUCAGAGGUCGGGGUCAUGGACCAAAACUAAAUAGAAGAGCCUACUCAAGCGCAUCAAGCUCAACUCAGCAUGUAGUGGAAGAAUUGGCAUCUACAAAGGAGAUUGUUGCUACGCAACAAACUCAAAUUGAAGCUCAACAAUCUCAACUUGAAGCUCAACAGAAGAAGAUCGAUUGGCUACAGAGUGCCGUGUCUAACUUGGUUGGUAUUUCACCUCCUAUGGACGGCACUAGUGUGACAGGGCUUGGUUUCUUAACUGAUAGAUCUGUUUUGCGGUCAUGCUACAGAUCUGUUUCUUCUGAUGGUUCUCUGGUCUCAGAUGGAGGGUCAAGGAGGUGA